AGCUCGGAUCCAUGCGAUUAUAACGCCUUAACCUUGUCAGGACCGGAAGGUAGCAGCAAUACGGGAUGCUUAUGAUAGGCGUGGACUCCGGGUCACU
rnacentral:SRP_RNA from 1 species